UAAUUAAUUGACUUUGUUAAAUUUGUGUAGUUUGUAAUUAAUUCUUAUAUGUAUGUUUUUAUUUGUCUAAAUGGUUAUUAGUAAGCAGUUUUUAAUUUUAUUUUUUAAUGAGUGUUAGAAUUAGAUAAGUUAUUUAAGUACUGUUAAAUGUUGUGCCAGCAAACGCGGUUAUACAACUGGGCUAAAUUAUAUUUUUAGGGUUUAUUAAUAGUAGAUUUGUGGAGUUGGUUUUUAUACAUAUUGGGUGAAAUUUUAUGUAUAAUUAUUAUUUGGGUUAUUGAUUAAUAAGAAAAUUAAUAUAAAAAUUAGGAUUAGAUACCCUAUUAUUUUAAUUGUAUAUUAUUUGCUCUUAUUAUUAAUAGUUAUGUUCUUUAAAUUAAAAAAGUUUGGCGGUAAUUCAAUCCUUUUAGAGGAACCUGUUCUUUAAUUGAUAAUCCACGUUAUGUUUUUCCUUAAUUGUUUGGUUUGUAUACCUCUGUUAUUGAAUAUCUUAUUAGGGUUUAUUCUUUUAAUAUUAUAUAUAUUUUAUAUCAAGUCAAGGUGCAGCUGUAUUGGGGUUUGAAAUGGGUUACAUUUAAUGUUUAUUUAUAGGAUAUUCAUAUAUAUGAGUGAUUUGAAAUAGGAUUUAAUAGUAAAUUUUAAUGUUUUUUAUUUUUGAUUUUGGCUCUGAAUUAUGUACAUAUCGCCCGUCACUCCUGUUAAUUUACAGGAUAAGUCGUAACAAAGUAACUUUACUGGAAAGUGUAGUUGGAAGUGC
rnacentral:ncRNA from 1 species